CCUACGGGGAGCAGCAGUGAGGAAUAUUGGUCAAUGGACGCAAGUCUGAACCAGCCAUGCCGCGUGCAGGAAGACGGCUCUAUGAGUUGUAAACUGCUUUUGUACGAGGGUAAACGCAGAUACGCGUAUCUGUCUGAAAGUAUCGUACGAAUAAGGAUCGGCUAACUCCGUGCCAGCAGCCGCGGUAAUACGGAGGAUUCAAGCGUUAUCCGGAUUUAUUGGGUUUAAAGGGUGCGUAGGCGGUCGGAUAAGUUAGAGGUGAAAGCCCGAGGCUCAACUUCGGAAUUGCCUCUGAUACUGUUCGGCUAGAGAGUAGUUGCGGUAGGCGGAAUGUAUGGUGUAGCGGUGAAAUGCUUAGAGAUCAUACAGAACACCGGUUGCGAAGGCAGCUUACCAAGCUACUUCUGACGUUGAGGCACGAAAGCGUGGGGAGCAAACAGGAUUAGAUACCCGUGUAGUC
rnacentral:rRNA from 1 species